GAACCGUGUUCCCACACCCAGCCAGCACCGUCCGACAGGUCUGGAUCCAAGGAAAAUCCAAAGGAGACCUGGCUGGGACUGCCCAGCCCGGUGUGCCUGGGGCUAGGAGUUCUCAGGGAGAGCUGGGACACCAGGGAUGGUUCUGCUUGCCAAAAGUCUCCAGUGCCUUCUGUGUGUGAGCACAAAUACCUGGGCCCACAGGCUGAACCCUGCAGGGUCACAUGGGUGACAGGGCUAAAAAAAGGCAAACACAGAGGCCUAAUUUAAACUGCCCCAAAAUGUUGGUGUUUUCCCCCCCUGGGGCUGCUCAUGAGCCUCUUCCAGCUUUUCCUACAGCUUUCCUGGAAUUUUAAUAUCCCGCUCUCUUCGGGGUUUGUGCUUUUUGAUUCUUUUAUUUUUAGCUGCAGCAUUUUGCAGCGGUCUGCAGAGCCUGCUUGACGCCAGCAAAUGUAACUGGAUGCCGAGUCCCUGCGAGCCAGGAAUUGCAGCCAGGAGCAGCACAAACCCUGGCACUGGGCAAAACCUGGGAGCCUGAAUCCUGAAUUUAUCUCCUGCCUUGGGAAAGCAGGCAGGGGGGCUUCAUCAGAACGGAGAGAAGAGCUGGGAAGGGUUUGAGGGCUUGGAGGAGGGGAUCAAGGCAGGAAAUCCAGUGAAUGAUGAGACUGGGCUGGUCCCUGGGCAAGUGGGAGCAGCUCUGGACUAUCCAGCACCAAGGAGCCCCCUGAGCUCAGAGGAAGACCAGUGCUUUCAGAAGUGCAGGUACCAGCCUGGAUGUCUGCAGCAAACCAGAAUAUUGCCUGCAGUUAAGGAUGUCUCUACUAAAAUAAGCAAAUAAAUUCAUUUUGCAUGAUUUAUUACAGUGCUUAAAGAAUAUUUCAUAUCAGAAUCAAAGUAAGCCACCCCAUCUGGUCUCUUUUUACACCUCUUACCUUCUGAUCGACUUAACUGCAAACUCUAUUGAUUAAAAUAUGCCCUAUGCCCUCAUUCUUGUAGCUUAAUACUCAACAAAAUUAAAUGUAAAAUAACCAAAUCCUGGAUUUCUUACAGCAAUUGCUGUACCUGGUCACUUGGAUAUUGGAGGAUGA